rnacentral:rRNA from 1 species
UUGAACGCUGGCGGCAGGCCUAACACCUGCAAGUCGAGCGGAUGAGGGGAGCUUGCUCCUGGAUUCAGCGGCGGACGGGUGAGUAAUGCCUAGGAAUCUGCCUGGUAGUGGGGGAUAACGUCCGGAAACGGGCGCUAAUACCGCAUACGUCCUGUGGGAGAAAGUGGGGGAUCUUCGGACCUCACGCUAUCAGAUGAGCCUAGGUCGGAUUAGCUAGUUGGUGGGGUAAAGGCCUACCAAGGCGACGAUCCGUAACUGGUCUGAGAGGAUGAUCAGUCACACUGGAACUGAGACACGGUCCAGACUCCUACGGGAGGCAGCAGUGGGGAAUAUUGGACAAUGGGCGAAAGCCUGAUCCAGCCAUGCCGCGUGUGUGAAGAAGGUCUUCGGAUUGUAAAGCACUUUAAGUUGGGAGGAAGGGCAGUAAGUUAAUACCUUGCUGUUUUGACGUUACCAACAGAAUAAGCACCGGCUAACUUCGUG